UACGUAGGCAGCAAGCGUUGUUCGGAGUUACUGGGCGUAAAGGGUGCGUAGGCGGUCCUGUAAGUAUGGUGUGAAAUCUCCCGGCUUAACUGGGAGGGUGCGCUAUAGACUGCGGGACUAGAGGGUGGGAGAGGAAAGUGGAAUUCCUGGUGUAGCGGUGGAAUGCGCAGAGUAUCAGGAGGAACACCAAUAGCGAAGGCAGCUCGCUGGGACGUUACUGACACUGAGGCGCGAAAGCGUGGGGAGCGAACAGG
rnacentral:rRNA from 1 species